UAAGCGACUAAGCGUACACGGUGGAUGCCUAGGCAGUCAGAGGCGAUGAAGGGCGUGCUAAUCUGCGAAAAGCGUCGGUAAGCUGAUAUGAAGCGUUAUAACCGACGAUACCCGAAUGGGGAAACCCAGUGCAAUACGUUGCACUAUCGUUAGAUGAAUACAUAGUCUAACGAGGCGAACCGGGGGAACUGAAACAUCUAAGUACCCCGAGGAAAAGAAAUCAACCGAGAUUCCCCCAGUAGCGGCGAGCGAACGGGGAGGAGCCCAGAGUCUGAAUCAGUUUGUGUGUUAGUGGAAGCGUCUGGAAAGUCGCACGGUACAGGGUGAUAGUCCCGUACACCAAAAUGCACAGGCUGUGAACUCGAUGAGUAGGGCGGGACACGUGACAUCCUGUCUGAAUAUGGGGGGACCAUCCUCCAAGGCUAAAUACUCCUGACUGACCGAUAGUGAACCAGUACCGUGAGGGAAAGGCGAAAAGAACCCCGGCGAGGGGAGUGAAAUAGAACCUGAAACCGUGUACGUACAAGCAGUGGGAGCACCUUCGUGGUGUGACUGCGUACCUUUUGUAUAAUGGGUCAGCGACUUAUAUUUUGUAGCAAGGUUAACCGAAUAGGGGAGCCGUAGGGAAACCGAGUCUUAACUGGGCGUCUAGUUGCAAGGUAUAGACCCGAAACCCGGUGAUCUAGCCAUGGGCAGGUUGAAGGUUGGGUAACACUAACUGGAGGACCGAACCGACUAAUGUUGAAAAAUUAGCGGAUGACUUGUGGCUGGGGGUGAAAGGCCAAUCAAACCGGGAGAUAGCUGGUUCUCCCCGAAAGCUAUUUAGGUAGCGCCUCGUGAACUCAUCUUCGGGGGUAGAGCACUGUUUCGGCUAGGGGGCCAUCCCGGCUUACCAAACCGAUGCAAACUCCGAAUACCGAAGAAUGUUAUCACGGGAGACACACGGCGGGUGCUAACGUCCGUCGUGAAGAGGGAAACAACCCAGACCGCCAGCUAAGGUCCCAAAGUCAUGGUUAAGUGGGAAACGAUGUGGGAAGGCACAGACAGCCAGGAUGUUGGCUUAGAAGCAGCCAUCAUUUAAAGAAAGCGUAAUAGCUCACUGGUCGAGUCGGCCUGCGCGGAAGAUGUAACGGGGCUAAACCAUGCACCGAAGCUGCGGCAGCGACGUUUAGGCGUUGUUGGGUAGGGGAGCGUUCUGUAAGCCGUUGAAGGUGACCUGUGAGGGUUGCUGGAGGUAUCAGAAGUGCGAAUGCUGACAUAAGUAACGAUAAUGCGGGUGAAAAACCCGCACGCCGGAAGACCAAGGGUUCCUGUCCAACGUUAAUCGGGGCAGGGUGAGUCGACCCCUAAGGCGAGGCUGAAAAGCGUAGUCGAUGGGAAACAGGUUAAUAUUCCUGUACUUGGUGUUACUGCGAAGGGGGGACGGAGAAGGCUAGGCUGGCCGGGCGACGGUUGUCCCGGUUUAAGCGUGUAGGGGGAGUGACCAGGUAAAUCCGGUUGCUUAUCAACCCUGAGGCGUGAUGACGAUGCACCACGGUGCAGAAGCAGUUGAUGCCAUGCUUCCAGGAAAAGCCUCUAAGCAUCAGGUAACAUUAAAUCGUACCCCAAACCGACACAGGUGGUCAGGUAGAGAAUACUCAGGCGCUUGAGAGAACUCGGGUGAAGGAACUAGGCAAAAUGGUGCCGUAACUUCGGGAGAAGGCACGCUGGCGUUAGGUGAAAGGACUAGCUCCUGGAGCUGAAGCCAGUCGCAGAUACCAGCUGGCUGCAACUGUUUAAUAAAAACACAGCACUGUGCAAACACGAAAGUGGACGUAUACGGUGUGACGCCUGCCCGGUGCUGGAAGGUUAAUUGAUGGGGUCAGCCGCAAGGGGAAGCUCUUGAUCGAAGCCCCAGUAAACGGCGGCCGUAACUAUAACGGUCCUAAGGUAGCGAAAUUCCUUGUCGGGUAAGUUCCGACCUGCACGAAUGGCGUAAUGAUGGCCAGGCUGUCUCCACCCGAGACUCAGUGAAAUUGAACUCGCUGUGAAGAUGCAGUGUACCCGCGGCAAGACGGAAAGACCCCGUGAACCUUUACUAUAGCUUGACACUGAACAUUGAGCCUUGAUGUGUAGGAUAGGUGGGAGGCCUUGAAGUGUGGACGCCAGUCUGCAUGGAGCCAACCUUGAAAUACCACCCUUUAAUGUUUGAUGUUCUAACUCGGCCCCAUGAUCUGGGGUGAGGACAGUGUCUGGUGGGUAGUUUGACUGGGGCGGUCUCCUCCCAAAGAGUAACGGAGGAGCACGAAGGUUAGCUAAUCACGGUCGGACAUCGUGAGGUUAGUGCAAAGGCAUAAGCUAGCUUGACUGCGAGAGUGACGGCUCGAGCAGGUACGAAAGUAGGUCUUAGUGAUCCGGUGGUUCUGAAUGGAAGGGCCAUCGCUCAACGGAUAAAAGGUACUCCGGGGAUAACAGGCUGAUACCGCCCAAGAGUUCAUAUCGACGGCGGUGUUUGGCACCUCGAUGUCGGCUCAUCACAUCCUGGGGCUGAAGUAGGUCCCAAGGGUAUGGCUGUUCGCCAUUUAAAGUGGUACGCGAGCUGGGUUUAGAACGUCGUGAGACAGUUCGGUCCCUAUCUGCCGUGGGCGUUGGAAGAUUGAGAGGGGCUGCUCCUAGUACGAGAGGACCGGAGUGGACGAAUCACUGGUGUUCGGGUUGUCAUGCCAAUGGCAUUGCCCGGUAGCUAAAUUCGGAAGAGAUAACCGCUGAAAGCAUCUAAGCGGGAAACUUGCCUCGAGAUGAGUCUUCCCUGGGGCUUAAAGCCCCCUGAAGGAACGUUAAAGACUAUGACGUUGAUAGGCUGGGUGUGUAAGUGCAGCGAUGUAUUGAGCUAACCAGUACUAAUGAUCCGUGAGGCUUAACCU
rnacentral:rRNA from 1 species